rnacentral:rRNA from 1 species
CGAGCGAAGCGGCCACAGCCCAGAUUUGAAAGCUGGCCCCCUGCGGGGCCCGCGUUGUAAUCUGCAGAGGACGCCUCGGGGGCGGCGGCGCGCGAAGUCCCCUGGAACGGGGCGCCACAGAGGGUAACAGCCCCGUGCGCGCGGCGCCCGCCUCCGUGCGAGGCUCCUUCGACGAGUCGAGUAGUUUGGGAAUGCUGCUCCAAGCGGGAGGUAAAUUCCUUCCAAGGCUAAACACCCGCCAGAGACCGAUAGCGCACAAGUAGUGUAAACGAAAGAUGAAAAGCACCCUGGAGAGAGGGUUAAACAGAACGUGAAAUUGCUGAAAGGGAAGCGCCGGCGGCCAGACGCGGGCCCCGUGGCUUGGCCGGCCCUCGCGGCCGGUGUACUCCACGGCGGCCCGGGCCAGCACCGGCUCCUGCGGGCACGGAAGGGCGCCGGGAACGUGGCUCCCCCGGG